GCACUUGAAAUGGCAGCAAGUCUGAGGAGCAACGCCGCGUGAGUGAAGAAGGGUUUCGGCUCGUAAAGCUCUGUUGGUAGUGAAGAAAGAUAGAGGUAGUAACUGGCCUUUAUUUGACGGUAAUUACUUAGAAAGUCACGGCUAACUACGUGCCAGCAGCCGCGGUAAUACA
rnacentral:rRNA from 1 species